UACAGAGGUCCCAAGCGUUGUUCGGAUUCAUUGGGCGUAAAGGGUGCGUAGGCGGUGGGGUAAGUUGGAUGUGAAAUCUUGGGGCUUAACCUCAAAAUUGCAUUCAAUACUGCUCCGCUCGAGUUCUGUAGAGGAGAUUGGAAUUUACGGUGUAGCAGUGAAAUGCGUAGAUAUCAGGAGGAACACCGGUGGCGAAGGCGGGUCUCUGGGCCGAUACUGACGCUGAGGAGCGAAAGCGUGGGGAGCGAACAGG
rnacentral:rRNA from 1 species